GCCUCUGGUCAUGUCUUGCCUGCGGCACCGCUCGAUACAUGGUGUCAGAAGUAGGAUCAACGCCGACGUCCAGUCUUGGUGAACCGAAGAUUAUACUACAAGGCCAGCCCCAUGGACUUCCUGAAGCCACCAGGCCCGCUGAGCUCGGCUGGUGAAAUUGCCAAGAACUGGCAGGCAUUCAAGCAAAGGUUCGAAUUUUUCCUCGCCGCGUCAGAACAGCCAACCGGCAAGCCUCGAACGGAAUCAUGCAAGACAGCACUUCUGCUGAGCGUUGCAGGCGAGGAAGCCAUCGAGAUCUUCAACACGUUCAGCUUUGGCAAAGACGAGAGCAGGAAUGACUACGCCACUGUCAUUGCGAAGUUCGAUGCAUAUUGUGCGGCUCAGCAGAACGAAGUCCAUGAGCGCUACGUUUUCCGUACGCGAGUCCAGGCCCCUGGUGAGCUUUUCGAACCUUUCUUACGAGACUUAAAGAACCAGGCACGAGCAUGUAACUUUGGCUCCCAAAUGGACGCAAUGAUUAGGGACCAAAUUGUUUAUGGGACUAACGACGAGAAACUUAGAGAAAGGUUGCUGCGGGACAUUACGCUGAAUUUAGUGAAGGCUGAGCAGGCUGCUAAAGCAGCUGAAGCGACGGCAGCGCAACAAAAAGUUUGGGCACGAGACUAAAGCCACAUUGACGCGAUGCGUAAGGAACACCCAAGUAAACAAAGUGAGUUGCCCAGGCAUUACAAGUGUCCUAAGUACGCACUUAUGCACCCGCCACGAAGGUGUCCUGCAUUCGGGAAAACAUGUCGCAAAUGUCAACGCCCCAACCAUUUCGCUAUCUGCUGCAGACGAUUUGCCGAUAUAGGCGAACUUCAGGGCGGUGAAGAUAACUUUGACAUUCUGGACGUGUCAAGCUGCGCACCAAAGCAACACGACUGGACAGUUGUCGGCCAAAUCAAGAACGUACCACUUGAAUUCAAGGUCGACACAGGAGCGCAAGCAAAUCUACUACCUUUCGGUUGCUACCGUAAAAUUCGCCCGAAACCGCCCCUGAAACCAAGCAGCGCGGUGUUUCGUUCGUAUGGCGGAGGGGUUAUCAAGCAUGAUGGCGUCAUUCGUGCAGAAUUAGCACUAGGUGACCGUUGCGCCGUCCUCGACUUCUUCGGGGUGUCCAAGGGGCAUCAGGCCAUCCUGGGCUUACAGGCUAGCGAAAAUCUUGGACUUGUGUCACGCAUACACGCAGUAUCUCGAAACAGUUCCGAGGAAGUCGCAAGAAACUUUCGCCACUUGUUCACAGGAACCGGGUGCGUUGAAAGGGUCUAUCGAAUGGUUCUACGUGACGACGCCACGCCAAUCGUCCAAGCAGCCCUACGAGUGCCGCUGGCCCUACAGGAACCCUUGCGAGAACUGGGACGUAUGGAGCGCGCGGGCAUCAUAACCAAAGUCGCCGAGCCCACAGACUGGAAGGCCAUUGGCGACAUGCCCCCGAGGUUGCAGCGUUUUUUCUUGCGCCUUCUUCGCUAUGACGUAAAACUUCAGUUCACACCAGGGAAGCAACUGCUUCUCGCUGACAUGCUGUCACGUGCAACAAUCGGACCCAUCACGGGAAACGCUUGCGUGAGCAAGCGCAGCAGAGCAGCGAGCAACGUGGCCUUCGCGCUGUCUAUCGCUUCAACGGAAACUGAGCGCCGGGAACACACAUCAUGCACAAAGCUAAGGGCCGUCGAUGCACCUAGACUCUGCCCCAACAGAUUGCUCUCAAGAUACGGCCGCGCGACUGCGUGCAGCAGCCACAUACGCGGUUGUAGCCGGGGUAGAAGGGCGCACCUCUCCCUCCCCACGUUGCCUCAAAACGUCGGGAGCAUCGUGCGCGACGCAAGACGGCGCGCUUCCUCCCCGCCCUCUUUCGCGCGGGCGAGAUUGAGUCGCGAUCGGCAGCUUCGCUCGCACGCGUUCACACGCACAUGCAUCGUAGGGCGCGCGGCGACGCUGAAAUCGCCCUUGAACUUUAUACAGAACACCAUGGCGACGGCGACGGCAGAAAUGCGUCUGAAGUGUCCAUAUAAUUCCUAUCGCAAUGAAAGUACAAUUUCCCCUAUGCUGCCCUUGGUGUCGUAGUUUGUUGGAUCCUUAUGAUAUGACUAAUAAAGCUUGGGCGUUCGGUUUGUUUUCUUCUGGUCUCGAAUCCCGCAGCAUUGAUGCCUUCA